AACGAACGCUGGCGGCAGGCCUAACACAUGCAAGUCGAACACCCUAGCAAUAGGGAGUGGCAGACGGGUGAGUAACGCGUGGGAACCUUCUACGUGGUACGGAAUAGACCAGGGAAACCUGGAGUAAUACCGUAUAUACCCGAAAGGGGAAAGAUUUAUCGCCAUUGGAUGGGUCCGCGUUGGAUUAGUUAAUUGGUGAGGUAAUGGCUCACCAAGGCGACGCUCCAUAGCUGGUCUGAGAGGAUGAACAGCCACACUGGGACUGAGACACGGCCCAAACUCCUACGGGAGGCAGCAGUGGGGAAUAUGUGACAAUGGGCGCAAGCAUGAUCCAGCCAUGCGGCGUGAGUGAUGAAGGCCUUAGGGUUGUAAAGCUCUUUCACCGUAGAAGAUAAUGGCGGUAUCCGGAGAAGAAGCCCCGGCUAACUUCGUGCCAGCCGCCGCUGUAAAAC
rnacentral:rRNA from 1 species